rnacentral:miRNA from 1 species
GUGAGCAAAUCUUCAGGUGUGC